rnacentral:lncRNA from 1 species
CCGUGGUAAAAUAUUUUUAUGAAUCAUCGAAAAGAAAAGAAUGCAUUCAAUAAUGUAAAAACAAAGAAAUUGAUCAACACAUUUUUACACUAGUUAAACUGUGGCAUCUUCCGGGAUCACGAGCAUCUGCAAUCUGUGCCAAUUCUUCUGUUUCUGCUAACACUUCAACAUCAACCAAAAUUAGAUCUGCCUUGAUCCAACACCAGGCUCUUGUUUCAAACUAUAAAUUUCCUAUGUCAGUCAAAAGUUUUGAUACCUUGACUGGUUACAGAUUCAAAUUCUCAAACUUCUGUCCAUUCAAAGUUCUCUCCAU